rnacentral:rRNA from 1 species
AACGAACGCUGGCGGCAUGCCUAACACAUGCAAGUCGAACGAGAGCUUCGGCUCUAGUGGCGCACGGGUGCGUAACGCGUGGGAAUCUGCCCUUGGGUUCGGAAUAACAGUUGGAAACGACUGCUAAUACCGGAUGAUGACGUAAGUCCAAAGAUUUAUCGCCCUGGGAUGAGCCCGCGUCGGAUUAGCUAGUUGGUGGGGUAAAGGCCUACCAAGGCGACGAUCCGUAGCUGGUCUGAGAGGAUGAUCAGCCACACUGAGACUGAGACACGGCCCAGACUCCUACGGGAGGCAGCAGUGGGGAAUAUUGGACAAUGGGCGCAAGCCUGAUCCAGCAAUGCCGCGUGAGUGAUGAAGGCCUUAGGGUUGUAAAGCUCUUUUACCCGGGAAGAUAAUGACUGUACUGGGAGAAUAAGCCCCGGCUAACUCCGUGCCAGCAGCCGCAGUAA